rnacentral:lncRNA from 1 species
CACCAGCAUGUAGAACUUCUCAAAGUCGAUCUCGCCCACAGCGUUCCAGUCCAGCAUGUCAAACACAAUGUUGAUCUGUGCCUUUUUCAAGUCAGUCACAUGAUGAAGGAAGUGAUAGAACAGCACAUCUGUUAAGGUGGGCAGUUCCUGAAACCUUCGUCGCCCUUGAGCUUGUGGAAAAGCACUGGACCUGGAGUUGUGGAGAAUGAGAUCGUGGACAGGGCUUGGCUC